ensembl:lncRNA
AGGUGGAAGUGUGUGCAAAGGAUAAGGACCUCAAGAAACCCAGAAACCCAGGAAGUCAAGGGCUUGGGCUGGGGAGGGGUGAGUCCAUGGAGCAUUAGGGAGGUUCCCCUUGUGUCUUUCUGCUGGUCCACUUAUGGAUCUUUCUGCACUUCCCCCUAAGUGUUCAUGUUCAAUCAGUCACUUGUGUCCAGCAAUUUGAGACCCCAUGGACUGUAGCCCACCGUCUCCUCUGUCCAUGGAAUUUUCCAUGCCAGAAUGCUGGAGUGGGUUGCCAUUUCCUUCUCGAGGAGAUCUUCCUGACCCCGAGGGAUUGAACCCAGGUCUCCUGCAUUGGCAGGCAGAUUCUUGACCACUGAACCACCUGGGAAGUCGAAGCAGGGCUGAACAGCAGAGCCUGGAGGAACAGUGUCCAAGGGAGGAGACGUGGCUGAGGGGAGGAGUUGCAGCCACAGGACCGUAGAAGGUGGGAUCAAGGCUUCUGGAAGGAAGGAGAUGGGGAGGGGACCAGUGUUGACUGAGCAUGUACUAGGUGCCAGGAAUUUGACACAUAUAAUCUUAUUUAAUCCCCACAGAAGUCCUGUAAGAUAGGAAUUAUUAUCCUCUUUGUACUGGUGAGGAUACAGAGGAUCAGCAAGGUUAGGCAACUCACCGGAGGUCACAUGAUGACUGAGGUGGAGCCAGAAUUCAAUGCGUGUCCUUUGAUUGGAAAUCCUGUGUUCUCUCCAUUAGCACUAGUACCCGGUGAGAUCAGUUCCAAAGUGCUGACUGCAUCAGUUGUCCCUUUUCCCUUGUGAACUUGAGCAAGCUGCUCAACUUUCUGGCUUCCUGGCCUCAAAAUGGGCAUCAGUAGACUACCUACCUUGGAGGUAUGCUAUGGAUUAAGCGAGGUGUGCAGCUAAGCUGCUUAGAGCAAGGUCCCGCAGGUCCGAGUUCUCUAAACAUCAGCCACUGCGUUGACUUUUACUACUGAUGCCACUGUUCCUGCAUCUUGGGGAAGACAUGCCCAAAAUCUCUGUGCCUUGGUUUUCUCAUCUGUGAAAUGGGUGGGUUGGACAAGAGGAUGCCUAAUCUAU